rnacentral:lncRNA from 1 species
AUGGUCUCCCCUCCAUAUUUCUCCACCAUGUCUGAGCUGCCUUCUUGCCCUGGAAGAUCGAUUCCUCCACCCCUGUGGCCACCUCCUGCCACUGAUAAGUUCCUUCUCAUGAGGAGAUGCCCAGACCAGUCAAGGGAAAAAUCUGCUGGUUUCCAAGUAUUUCUUUUAGUGGGGAAGAGAGCCACAGUAAGCAUGGUGAUUUCUCCAGUAAAGCAUGUGUGCUCUGUUGCUAUCCGUGCCAAGGGGAUGUUCUCUGGAGGUCCAGGAGCUGACCACCUUCUCAUUUCUCACCCCAGGUAUGGUAAGAGCCUGCGUCCGAUGCUGUUUCAGGCUGUAGCUUGUAUGUGGUAAAGAUACAUAAGUAUUUAGUAUUCACAAAGUCCAUUUCUUCCUCAGAAGUAGUCCUUGGAUGCCUCAUUAUAGCACGGAGUCUAUCCUGGGGUUACCAAGGCUAGGCCAGUGAAGCAUAGAUCCAGAAGACCCCAUGAGAUGAAAAUGUUGGUCCUGAUAUGCCCAGGAGUUCACUGCUAAAAGGAAAAC